UAUCACGUUAUUCUCGUUAUUACGCGCGAGCAUUGUCGCGACGUCAUCGUAUUGCGUCACUAUGUGAAAGUACGCUUGAGGUAAACGUCGAACGACGACUGUUAGGUAAAAAUAAACUUGAUCGAUCAGUGUUUAUUUACAGGCACGCAAAUCGAAGCUAUUUUUUAACGGGAUUAACCAUUUCAGGGCCGAGCAACUGGUGUAUGUGGAAAUUACAACAGUUCCAGGUAGACACGACAUUCCUCGCUGGAAGGCAGAGAAGUGCCAGCCACAAAGGAGUAACUGGCAAACCGGUUGCCACAAGGCUCCGCCAUCGCUGUAAACACGUUAUCGGAGCCAACCUGGAAACCGUGUAUACUGAUUGCAAUGCACAAGGAUAUGGCAAGCGGAGGUAUACGGGGGCACGUGCCCUCUGGACACUACGUUGCGAGGGAGUCGAUCAGGGUUGAGUUGAAAAAUCAAUUUUUGGUCCUGGUAUACUUCUUGUGGAGUAACAAUUAUUGGUUGAUUUGUAGGAUGAAAUGAUACAGAAACUAAUCAACAUUUAUUAAAGGGUACGAAUUUAUUGAAAAAAGAAAUAAAAAUGAUACAUAUUCUAUAGGAAGUAGUAUGGAUUUAUUAAAAAAAAUAUAUAUAUAGAAAUUCCAGAUAUUCUAUAGGAAGGGGUGUAAAUUUAUUAAAGAAACAAAAAUAUAAAUCCUACAUUUUCUAUAGGAAGAGGUAUGAAAAGGGGUAUUUAUUAAAAACAUAAAUAAAAAUCCUAGAUAUACAAAAGGGCAUAAAUUUAUUGAAAAAGAUAACAAUUAUAGAUACACUACAGGAAAGGGUCAUCAAUUUUUGUUUAGAUAUAACCCACUUUUUCUUUGCCCGUAUAUACCUAUUAAUAAGAAAAGAACCUAACGUGGAAAUAAGUUUAACGUGAACCAAGAACCGCGGGGAACGUGUUAAAAGGUUUCGAGUGUAGAGGAAAACCUACUUGCAGCGCAGUAAAAUGCAGUAAAAUGUAGAUCGCAGCGUUCAUCGCGAAAAACGUACAGUGACUCGCAAAAUCAUUGGCAGAUGCGAUGAAUGACAGAAAUAUAAAAGAUAACAGAAAUUGUGAAAGGUUCUUAUUCGGUGAAUAUAAUAUUUAGAUUAUAAGCAUAUAAAACAAUAUGAUUUGAUGGUGUGAAAAGGUACGAGACGAAACAAUUCCAUGCGUUAUUUGGGUCACCAAUUUAUUGGCCAUAAAAGGAGUUAUAAAAGUUGAUAGGUUUGAUAGCGAUAACUUUUAUUAGGGUAACCUGUUAUAUCACGUUGAGAAGUCUCUUUGGCAUUGAUCCCAUUUUUUGAGCAAUCCUCUUCGAUAUUAUGGCACUAUUACAUAUUACAAUUUAAUUUACAAAUGUAUUUCCAUUUUUAAUCAAAGGUUUUCCAAAAAUCUUUUACCUGUCCUUUAUUUUAUUUUCAUACCCCAGUUACAUACUGCGUGUGCCAAUAAUUUCGUGACCCAAAUAUUGAACGAAGAAUAGUUUCAAUUCUUUUCUAAUAGUUUUCUAAGUCCAUAGUCUAAAUAUUAUAGUUCCUAAGCAACAAACGUAGCAAAAUCCCUUAUCAUUUCUUUCAUGGUCCACAUCCUUGUUACUUCCUGUAUCCACUAAGAAUUUUGCGCCUCACUGUACGAGGCCUCGCAUAAAAUGAAGUGCUUCAGCCCCGGCGAUCUCGAUCCGAGGGAAAUCAACCAAGCAGAGAGGCCACUCUUUUCUAGAGAAACAUUCGGAAUACAUUAAACCUAAUGAAAAAGUCCGUACGAUAGACGUGAUAUCUCUUACUGUGUGAAACUCGAAGCCAAGCCACCUAAACAGCGCAGGGUGAACGGUCGCUACGAGAAAACGAAUCGAAAACCGUGGAAGAAUUUGAAAUAUUCUGCGAGUUGUUUAGCGCGCGCACCGAGAAAAUGGAAAUUCGGGGGCUAUAAAUUAGUUUUUGCGGGGAAACAAG